GUUUUUAUAAUUUAUUUUAAAAUAUUGGUCUUGUAAAUCAAACAAAAGGAAACUUUAAAAACU
rnacentral:tRNA from 1 species